rnacentral:misc_RNA from 1 species
UUUCCGUAGGUGAACCUGCGGAAGGAUCAUUAAUUAUAUAAGUCCAGAGUGCAAGCUUUCCGAAAGGAUCGCGCUUGCUGUGUGUACCCUACCGACCCUUGCUUUUUCCGUACCCAUUGUUUCCUCGGCAGGCUUGCCUGCCAUUAGGAUCCUCUUAAACCCUUUGUAAUUGCUGUCCUCUUAAGAGACAACGUAUUCGUUACAACUUUCAACAACGGAUCUCUUGGUUCUG